rnacentral:ncRNA from 23 species
ACGUCCUGCCUCGUGAUCGUCUUCUCAACCUUCACCCGGCAGGCGGAUGGACGGAGGACCCCCGCGAGGACAUGACUCGCGGGGGUUCUCC